GUUGUAUGGUUAAGUGACUAAGCGUACACGGUGGAUGCCUUGGCAGUCAGAGGCGAUGAAAGACGUAGUAACUUGCGAUAAGCCCAGAUUAGGUAGUAACAACCAUUUGAGUCUGGGAUUUCUGAAUGGGGAAACCCACGUGCAUAAGCACGUAUCCUUACCUGAAUACAUAGGGUAAGGAGGCGAACCGGGGGAACUGAAACAUCUAAGUACCCCGAGGAAAAGAAAUCAACCGAGAUUCCGAAAGUAGCGGCGAGCGAAAUUGGACUAGCCCUUAAGCUUUACACGCGUUAGACGAACGGUCUGGAAAGUCCGACGAUACAGGGUGAUAGUCCCGUAGUUGACGACGUGUGUUCAGUGAAAUCGAGUAAGGCGGGACACGUGAUAUCCUGUCUGAAUAUGGGGGGACCAUCCUCCAAGGCUAAAUACUACUGACUGACCGAUAGUGAACCAGUACCGUGAGGGAAAGGCGAAAAGAACCCCUGUGAGGGGAGUGAAAUAGAACCUGAAACCGUGUACGUACAAGCAGUAGGAGCAGGCUUUGUCCUGUGACUGCGUACCUUUUGUAUAAUGGGUCAGCGACUUAUAUUCAGUGGCAAGGUUAACCAUCUAGGGGAGCCGUAGGGAAACCGAGUCUUAACUGGGCGUUCAGUCUCUGGAUAUAGACCCGAAACCAGGUGAUCUAGCCAUGGGCAGGUUGAAGGUUGAGUAACAUCAACUGGAGGACCGAACCGACUAAUGUUGAAAAAUUAGCGGAUGACUUGUGGCUAGGGGUGAAAGGCCAAUCAAACCUGGAGAUAGCUGGUUCUCCCCGAAAGCUAUUUAGGUAGCGCCUCGGACGAAUACUACUGGGGGUAGAGCACUGUUAAGGCUAGGGGGUCAUCCCGACUUACCAACCCUUUGCAAACUCCGAAUACCAGUAAGUACUAUCCGGGAGACACACGGCGGGUGCUAACGUCCGUCGUGGAGAGGGAAACAACCCAGACCGCCAGCUAAGGUCCCAAAUUACUACUAAGUGGGAAACGAUGUGGGAAGGCUCAGACAGCCAGGAUGUUGGCUUAGAAGCAGCCAUCAUUUAAAGAAAGCGUAAUAGCUCACUGGUCGAGUCGGCCUGCGCGGAAGAUGUAACGGGGCUAAGUAGUAAACCGAAGCUGCGGCAAUGUGCUUUUGCACAUUGGGUAGGGGAGCGUUCUGUAAGCGGUUGAAGGUGUGUGGUAACGCAUGCUGGACGUAUCAGAAGUGCGAAUGCUGACAUGAGUAACGAUAAAGGGGGUGAAAAACCUCCUCGCCGGAAGACCAAGGGUUCCUGUCCAACGUUAAUCGGGGCAGGGUAAGUCGACCCCUAAGGCGAGGCCGAAAGGCGUAGUCGAUGGGAAACGGGUUAAUAUUCCCGUACUUCUUACAAUUGCGAUGGGGGGACGGAGAAGGCUAGGUGGGCCUGGCGACGGUUGUCCAGGUUCAAGUGCGUAGGCUUAAGAGUUAGGUAAAUCCGGCUCUUUUUAAGGCUGAGACACGACGUCGAGCUACUACGGUAGUGAAGUCAUUGAUGCCAUGCUUCCAGGAAAAGCCUCUAAGCUUCAGAUUGUAAGGAAUCGUACCCCAAACCGACACAGGUGGUCGGGUAGAGAAUACCAAGGCGCUUGAGAGAACUCGGGUGAAGGAACUAGGCAAAAUGGUACCGUAACUUCGGGAGAAGGUACGCUCUUGAUGGUGAAGUCCCUCGCGGAUGGAGCUGACGAGAGUCGCAGAUACCAGGUGGCUGCAACUGUUUAUUAAAAACACAGCACUGUGCAAAAUCGUAAGAUGACGUAUACGGUGUGACGCCUGCCCGGUGCCGGAAGGUUAAUUGAUGGGGUUAGACUUCGGUCGAAGCUCUUGAUCGAAGCCCCGGUAAACGGCGGCCGUAACUAUAACGGUCCUAAGGUAGCGAAAUUCCUUGUCGGGUAAGUUCCGACCUGCACGAAUGGCGUAAUGAUGGCCACGCUGUCUCCACCCGAGACUCAGUGAAAUUGAAAUCGCUGUGAAGAUGCAGUGUACCCGCGGCUAGACGGAAAGACCCCGUGAACCUUUACUACAGCUUGGCACUGAACAUUGACCCUACAUGUGUAGGAUAGGUGGGAGGCUUUGAAGCACGUACGCCAGUAUGUGUGGAGCCGUCCUUGAAAUACCACCCUUGUAGUGUUGAUGUUCUAACGUCGACCCCUUAUCGGGGUUGCGGACAGUGCCUGGUGGGUAGUUUGACUGGGGCGGUCUCCUCCCAAAGAGUAACGGAGGAGCACGAAGGUGGGCUAAUCACGGUUGGACAUCGUGAGGUUAGUGCAAUGGCAUAAGCCCGCUUGACUGCGAGAAUGACAAUUCGAGCAGGUGCGAAAGCAGGUCAUAGUGAUCCGGUGGUUCUGAAUGGAAGGGCCAUCGCUCAACGGAUAAAAGGUACUCCGGGGAUAACAGGCUGAUACCGCCCAAGAGUUCAUAUCGACGGCGGUGUUUGGCACCUCGAUGUCGGCUCAUCACAUCCUGGGGCUGAAGUCGGUCCCAAGGGUAUGGCUGUUCGCCAUUUAAAGUGGUACGCGAGCUGGGUUUAGAACGUCGUGAGACAGUUCGGUCCCUAUCUGCCGUGGGCGUUGGAAGAUUGAAGGGGGCUGCUCCUAGUACGAGAGGACCGGAGUGGACGAACCUCUGGUGUUCGGGUUGUGUCGCCAGACGCAUUGCCCGGUAGCUAAGUUCGGAAUCGAUAACCGCUGAAAGCAUCUAAGCGGGAAGCGAGCCCUGAGAUGAGUCUUCCCUGAUACUUUAAGUAUCCUAAAGGGUUGUCGGAGACUACGACGUUGAUAGGUCAGGUGUGUAAGUGCUGUGAGGCAUUGAGCUAACUGAUACUAAUUGCCCGUGAGGCUUAACCAUACAACACCCAAGGGGUUU
rnacentral:rRNA from 1 species